rnacentral:rRNA from 1 species
GACAGAGGGUGCAAACGUUGCUCGGAAUUACUGGGCGUAAAGCGCGUGUAGGCGGUUUCCUAAGUCAGGUGUGAAAGCCCGGGGCUCAACCUCGGAAGUGCACAUGAUACUGGGAAGCUUGAGUACUGAAGAGGAGAGCGGAAUUCUCGGUGUAGAGGUGAAAUUCGUAGAUAUCGGGAGGAACACCAGUGGCGAAGGCGGCUCUCUGGGCAGAUACUGACGCUGAGACGCGAAAGCAUGGGGAGCAAACAGG